GAGAGAGUGGUUUGUUGAAGAGGGAGGUUUUGUUGUGAUUCACUUGCGCUGGUUACACAGUCUCAAAGCUCAAAGAUCGGAAAGCUGAUUUAAAUUGGAUUGACAUUUGAGAAAAAAGACGCCAUGAUUGCUUAUCGGCUUUUUCUUCUGUAAUAAAGCUUUCGAGUUGAAGCCGUUAACUUCAAUGGCAGUAGCAACCCCUUUUAUCAUCUAAAAGUGCCAUCAUUUACUCCCUCAUGUAGAAUUUUAGUCAGCCAUUAUAUCUUUUAAAGUUUAAUUUUUUUUUUCUCCUCUUGCUUUGGUUAUCUGGUCCUUUCUUAUCUCUUACUUCUGGUCACAGAAUUAACAGAAAAUCCAGUUG
rnacentral:misc_RNA from 1 species